rnacentral:lncRNA from 1 species
UGGCUCUGCAGCUCUGGGGACUCCCUCCAGCUGUCACCUGCGCUAGGUGAUCAUCGCUGGAGCCAGCCCCAGGGCGAGAAGUGCCACCUCUCUCCCUCUCUCUGCCCUCCUUUCCGCUCUCCUCCUCUCCCUCUCUUCCCCCGCUCUCUCUUUUCACCGAUAAUCAGGGCAGAGAGAUGUUCCCAGAAGCCGACCAGCAGCGGCAAGGUUCCCCUCCCCGUUACUCACAGCCAGGCGUUUCCUCAUCCCUGCAAAUUCUCCCUGCGCUGCUGGGUGCUGGGGAUGCUCCGGAUGCCGGGAUGCUGGAGAUGUGUGGGGUGCUCUGGGCAGUCAGGACGCUCUGCGAUGCUCCAGAUGCUCUGGACCAGGGGAUAAGGAGGACCACGAGAUGCUCAGGAUGCUUUGGACCCCCUGAUGCUCAGCUCAUGCCUCCCAGCUGUGCUUGCCCACUCACAGAGCUCUGUCCCCUGGGGCAGCGGGGCUCCGCUGAGCUCCUCCGUGCCCGAGCUCUGCUGCUGCAGCGGGAGGCAGCGAGGAGAGGCAGAGCAGCCCUGAGGCAGGCACGGGGAUGCUGCCAGCCAAGAUCGCCCAUGGAGAGGAAGAUGCCACACGCAGGAGUGUGGGAAGCCGCCUGGAGGUGUCCGUCCCCUGGCAGAGGUCAGCAGCAAUCUGCAGCUAAGCCCAGCAGGCAAAGCUGAGCACGAGGUUCCACCAUCCCCUGUGUCGGCUGAUAAGAGACAAAUUUUGCAUAGCCAGAUCAAGAGCAACAAAACCUGCAUUCAGUACCACACAGCUGCCCUCUCAGAAAGCAGCCAGAGGUAUGCAAAGGACUUGCUGGAUAGUUUUCUAGCCAUCCGCAGGCAGGGAGGGAUACCAAGGGAAAAAAGGGCUGCAGCCUCACUCAGACAGCCAGGGGUCGUGCCCCUCCACUGUUUUGGUUUUUUUUUUUGGGCUCAGUCUUUGCAGGGGCGACCCUGGGUGAACCCAGAGCAACUUGCCUUUUGGCAGGCAGGAGGCAAGAAGUCGGAGGACCCAGCAUGACCUGCUGGCUUCUCCGUCCCUUCUCCUCAUUCAGGAAACACUUCUGAAUUUGUAAGUGGUGUCAGGCACCCUGUACUACCACCUCAUCUUUCAGAGCCAAUACCUUG